GAAUUUUCAAUUGGCUUUAUAAUUUCUACGAAUAAUUUCUAUUUAAACAAAGAAUUUUUCUUUAUAUUUCAGUCGUAAUUGUUCGAAUACAAUUGUCUUCGUUCCGUUUGCUACGAAAAUAAUUGGAGCUCGUGUCUGUCGCAUAGUGAGGAGUUGUGUAAAUCACAUUAGACACCAUUUUGAGGAUAAUGAGUUGAGAAACGAAGCUGAAUUAAAAGGUAAAAAGACGAACGUUUCUUUGAACGAAGGGCCAACAAGCAUUCUUCGAGAUACAAUAAUGCAUUCGCGGGUACACAGUGAGCACGCUGUGUAAUUAGUCACUCGUCAGAGACUGCUUGAACAAUGGAGUCAACGUAUCCUCGCCAUUUCCUUGCAUUAUCUCUGUUGUACAACGCUAUCUGAGCCAACUGCGCUUGAUUAGCACGGAUUACGACAAACGUAAUUGAUACACGCGCCGAUGCAGUGAUCAGAUUACGUUUCAAACGUAUCUUCUCUCCAAGUGUCUACGUCUAGUUCAAAAGAUACAGAAAAAGCAUAUUAGUAUCUCUUAUCUUACCACGGCAGAAGGUUGACAGAGCUAGAAAUAUAGGUUAGAAAGAUCUUUCUUGCUGAUGGCGUGUUUCUUCACUGUACGUAUUAUGUAUACAUGUAUAACAGUAGCCAGUAGUAGUACAACCAUACGUAUGAGCUUCCACCAGAACUUUAUAAAAUAUAUUUCGUAAUAACGUAUAUAACUUACGAAAAAAGAUGACUUUGCAUGAAUAGAUAAAAUUUAUAAUUCACAUAUAUAAAUAAAACGAUAAAUA